UACGAAGGGGGCUAGCGUUGCUCGGAAUCACUGGGCGUAAAGGGCGCGUAGGCGGCCAUUCAAGUCAGGGGUGAAAGCCUGUGGCUCAACCACAGAAUUGCCUUUGAUACUGUUUGGCUAGAGACCGGAAGAGGUAAGUGGAACUGCGAGUGUAGAGGUGAAAUUCGUAGAUAUUCGCAAGAACACCAGUGGCGAAGGCGGCUUACUGGUCCGGUUCUGACGCUGAGGCGCGAAAGCGUGGGGAGCAAACGGG
rnacentral:rRNA from 1 species